CCUACGGGAGGCAGCAGUGAGGAAUAUUGGUCAAUGGGCGGGAGCCUGAACCAGCCAAGUCGCGUGAGGGAAGACGGUCCUAUGGAUUGUAAACCUCUUUAGGCGGGGAGCAAUGCCGGGCACGUGUGCCCGGAGGGAGAGUACCCGCAGAAUAAGCAUCGGCUAACUCCGUGCCAGCAGCCGCGGUAAUACGGAGGAUGCGAGCGUUAUCCGGAUUUAGUGGGUUUAAAGGGUGCGUAGGCGGAUUUUUAAGUCAGCGGUAAAAUGUCCGGGCUCAACCCGGGCCGGCCGUUGAAACUGGGGAUCUUGAGUGGGCGAGAAGUAUGCGGAAGGCGUGGUGUAGCGGUGAAAUGCAUAGAUAUCACGCAGAACUCCGAUUGCGAAGGCAGCAUACCGGCGCCCGACUGACGCUGAGGCACGAAAGCGUGGGGAUCGAACAGGAUUAGAUACCCCGGUAGUC
rnacentral:rRNA from 1 species